AGAGUUUGAUCCUGGCUUAGGACGAACGCUGGCGGCAUGCCUAACACAUGCAAGUCGAACGGGGGUAGCAAUACCCUAGUGGCGAACGGGUGAGUAACACAUAAGCAAUCUGCCCUUCACAGGGGGAUAACAGCGGGAAACUGCUGCUAAUACCGCAUAAGACCACAGUACCGCAUGGUACAGGGGUAAAAACGAAUCAGUGGUGAAGGAUGAGCUUAUGUCCCAUUAGCUAGUUGGUGAGAUAACAGCCCACCAAGGCGACGAUGGGUAGCCGACCUGAGAGGGUGAUCGGCCACACUGGAACUGAGACACGGUCCAGACUCCUACGGGAGGCAGCAGUGGGGAAUAUUGGGCAAUGGAGGAAACUUCCUUACCCAGCAAUGCCGCGUGAGUGAAGAAGGUCUUCGGAUUGUAAAGCUCUUUGAUUGGGGACGAAGAAAGUGACGGUACCCAAAGAACAAGCCCCGGCUAACUACGUGCCAGCAGCUGC
rnacentral:rRNA from 1 species